rnacentral:rRNA from 1 species
UACGUAGGUGGCAAGCGUUGUCCGGAUUUACUGGGCGUAAAGCGAACGCAGGCGGACUUUUAAGUAGGAAGUGAAAGGUUGGAGCUCAACUCCGGCACUGCUCCCUAUACUGGAAGUCUUGAGUUUUGGAGAGGAAAGCGGAACGACACGUGUAGCGGUGAAAUGCGUUGAUAUGUGUCGGAACACCGAUGGCGAAAGCAGCUUUCUGGACAAACACUGACGCUGAGGUUCGAAAGCCAAGGGAGCGAACAGG